rnacentral:tRNA from 1 species
GCUGUAGCGCAGUUUGGUAGCGCGUCUGCUUUGGGAGCAGAAUGUCGCAGGUUCAAAUC